rnacentral:rRNA from 1 species
AGGCUUAACACAUGCAAGUCGAACGCAUCCUUCGGGAUGAGUGGCAGACGGGUGAGUAACACGUGGGAACGUGCCCUCCGGUCUGGGAUAACCCUGGGAAACUAGGGCUAAUACCGGAUACGUGCUUUGGCAGAAAGGUUUACUGCCGGAGGAUCGGCCCGCGUCUGAUUAGCUAGUUGGUGGGGUAACGGCCUACCAAGGCGACGAUCAGUAGCUGGUCUGAGAGGAUGAUCAGCCACACUGGGACUGAGACACGGCCCAGACUCCUACGGGAGGCAGCAGUGGGGAAUAUUGGACAAUGGGCGCAAGCCUGAUCCAGCCAUGCCGCGUGAGUGAUGACGGCCUUAGGGUUGUAAAGCUCUUUUCUCCGGGGACGAUAAUGACGGUACCGGAGGGAUAAGCCCCGGCUAACUUCGUGCCAGCAACCGGGUAAUACGAAGGGGGGCUAGCGUUGCUCGGAAUCACUGGGCGUAAACGGCGCGUAGGCGGCGUUUUAAGUCGGG